CUGGGGGGGCAGUGGGGAUGACCGGCCGGUGACCUGCGUGCCCCGCGGCCCCCAGCGCAGACUCUGCCCAGCGGCCAGGGGCCAGUAACCUCAGUGGGAGGCAAAGCAAACAAUGCUGUGUUGGUUUUGCUCAAGGAAAAUAAGAGAAACACGGUUUACCCUGUGGGGCCCCUGUGCUACGCCAGCUGCUCCGGGCCUCCCCGGGCGGCGGUCCUGUGCCCCGGGUCACCUCGGGCGCCGAGUGAAGGACGUGCAGGCCUUUAGGGUGGAGCCUCUGGUUCUUCUUAUCACCUGGGAGCAGCGACACGCUGAGGCCUCAGCUGGGCGGUACUGGCCAGGGCACAAGGCCCCGAGCGAGUCUGUGCCCGAACGUUGGCUCGGGUCCUGCCUGAUGAAUUGCCGCCUCCCUCGGCGGCGGCGAUGCGACUUCUGCGGACACUGGGCAGUUCUGACUGUUCCAGAAUUCCGUAUAAACGCAGUCGUGCAGGACGCUCUGCUCGCGUCGGUCUUUUCCGUGACGCUGUUUCCGGAGCCUUCCACGUGGCUGUGUGUCUCCAGAGGUCACCGCUUUUGUCAAGCAGAAGUGCUCCAUUGUGGGAACAUGAGAGCGAGCCCGUGAGCACAAGCAGGGGGAGCAGCAGACCCCGCGGAGCAGGGCGCCCCAGGUGGGGCUGGAUCCCAGGACCCGGAUGGUGACCUGAGCCGAAGGCAGGCGUGAGACGGCGGAGCCCCAGGCGCCCGUGAGGACCCUCCGGGUUGCUGCAAUUCGGGCCCAGAGUGGAAAGAGCUGCGGGAGCCCUUCACGGAGGAGACUCUGGAAACCUGCGUUUUGGUUUCUCUCCAGGGAACCCGCGGGAGCGGAUGGGCUGCGGGGCGCGGGCAGCUUGGGCUCUUGGGCUCGGCCCGGCUGCGUGGCAGGCGAGGGCGGCUCACACCCACACCCACACCCACACCCACGCCCACGCCCACGCCCACAGGGCGCCAGCUUUCCGACCCUUCCGGAGGCGAGGGACGACCUCCUUGUAGUUUGCAUUUGCGUCUCCCCGUGCCUGCUGCUGUGGGGCUCUCACGCGGGUCUCUGUGGUCCUUGGUGCGUCCUUCCUGAAGUGUCUGGGCAGUCGGCGGCCGUUCAAAACAAUUGGGGUGUUUGAGUUUUUUAUUAUUGAGUGGCCGGGGUUCUUUAUAUAUGGUGCAGAUAAGCCCUUUGUCAGAUUUAUGUUCCGAGACUACCUUCUCCUGGUCUGGGGUUUGCCUGUUUGUUUUUCUGCAGGAUGUAAUUUUUUACGAGCAUUUAACAUUUCGAUGUUGUACAGUGGA